rnacentral:tRNA from 1 species
UCCCUGGUGGCUCAGAUGGUAAAGAAUCUGCCUGUAAUGCAGGAGACCUGGGUUCGAAGCCAGGUCAGGAAG